rnacentral:rRNA from 1 species
UACAAAGGGUGCAAACGUUGCUCGGAAUCAUUGGGCGUAAAGCGCACGUAGGCGGUCCAGCAAGCGGGGAGUGAAAGCCCUCGGCUUAACCGAGGAAGUGCUUUCCGAACUACUGGACUUGAGUACUGAAGAGGGUCGCGGAAUUUCCGGUGUAGAGGUGAAAUUCGUAGAUAUCGGGAGGAACACCAGUGGCGAAGGCGGCGACCUGGGCAGAUACUGACGCUGAGGUGCGAAAGCGUGGGGAGCAAACAGG